AUUGAACGCUGGCGGCAGGCCUAACACAUGCAAGUCGAGCGGAUGCAGGGAGCUUGCUCCUGCAUUCAGCGGCGGACGGGUGGGUAAUGCCUAGGAAUCUGCCUGGUAUUGGGGGAUAACGUCCGGAAACGGGCGCUAAUACCGCAUACGUCCUGAGGGCGAACGUGGGGGAUCUUCGGACCUCACGCUCUCAGAUGAGCCUAGGUCGGAUUCGCUAGUUGGUGGGGUAAAGGCCUACCGAGGCGGCGAUCCGUAACUGGUCUGAGAGGAUGAUCAGUCACACUGGAACUGAGACACGGUCCAGACUCCUACGGGAGGCAGCAGUGGGGAAUAUUGGACAAUGGGCGAAAGCCUGAUCCAGCCAUGCCGCGUGUGUGAAGAAGGUCUUCGGAUUGUAAAGCACUUUAAGUUGGGAGGAAGGGCAGUAAGUUAAUACCUGGCUGUUUUGACGGUACCAACAGAAUAAGCACCGGCUAACUUCGUG
rnacentral:rRNA from 1 species